UGCCUAAUACAUACAAUCAACAACUCUUAUUGAUUUCUUGCAUCAUGAUUUACAUUUGAUGAUCCGAACUGUAUAACACUGGAAACCUCCCAGAAGCGGGGGAUAACACCUGGAAACAGAUGCUAAUACCGCAUAACACUUGGACCGCAUGGUCCGAGUCUUGAAAGAUGGCUUCGGCUAUCCUUUUGGCAUGGUCCCGCGGCGUAUUAGCUAGAUGGUGGGGUAACGGCUCACCAUAGCAAUGAUACGUAGCCGACCUGAGAGGGUAAUCGGCCACAUUGGGACUGAGACACGGCCCAAAACUCUACGGGAGGCAGCAGAGGGAAAUCUUCCACAAUGGACGAAAGUCUGAUGGAGCAACGCCGCGUGAGUGAAGAAGGGUUUCGGCUCUAAAAUCUGUUG
rnacentral:rRNA from 2 species